CCAUGUUGGCCAGGCUGGUCUUGAACACCUGACCUCAAGUGAUCCACUUGCCUUGGCCUCCCAAAAUACUGGGAUUACAGGUGUGAACCACCACACCUGGUUCUAUUUUUUCUUUUGUUACUUAUGCUUUUGGAGCCAUCGCUAAGAAAUUACUGCCAAAUCCAGAGUAACAAAGUUUUUGGCAUAUGUUUUCUCCUAGGAGUUUUAUAGUUUUAUGUCUUAUGUUUUGGUCUUUAUCCAUUUUGAGUUAAUUCAUAUGUAUUGUAUUAGAUAAGGGUGUAGCUUUUUCCUUUUGCAUGCGGAUAUCCAGUUUUCCAAGUACCAUGUAUUGGAAAGACCCAUUUCUCUGUUUUGUAGUCUUGGCACACUUGUCAAAAACCAUUUGACCAUAAAUACACAGGUUUAUUUCUUGGCUAUUUUGUUCCAUUGGUUUAUAUGUCUCUCUCUCUAUGCCAGUACCACCAUUGUCUUGAUUACUGUUGAUUUUUAAUACGUUUUGAAAUUAGGAAGUGUAAGGCCUCCAACUUCGUUGUUCUUUUUAAAGUUUGUUUUGGCUCUUUGGGGUCCAUUGAGAUUGCAUGUGAAUUUAAGGAUAGGUUUUCCUAUAUCUGCAAAAAAACUACCAGUGAGAUUUUAACAGGGGUUGCAUUGAAUCUAUAGAUUGCUGUGGGUAGUAUUGACAUCUUAAUAGUAUUGUCUUCCAAUCCAUGAACAUGGAAUUAUUUCCAUUUAAUUAGGCCUGUAAGUUUUUCUAAAAAUGUUUUGUAGUUUUUAGUGCACAAGUCUUUUACUUUCCCUUCUUUUUAUUUUAUUUAUUUUUUUUUUUUUGAGGAGGAGGAGUUUUGCUCUUCUCGCCCAGGUUGUGGUACAGUGCUGCGAUCCUAGCUCACUGCAACCUCUGCCUCCUGGGUUCAAGUGAUUCUCCUGCCUUAGCCUCUUGAGUAGCUGGGAUUACAGGCGGCCGCCACCGUGCCCAGCUAAUUUUUGUGUUUUUAGUAGAGGCAGCGUUUCAUAAUGUUGGCCAGGCUAGUCAUGAGGUUACACUUAUUAUUAUUAUUUUUUUUAAUUAUUCUUUUGGAAGCUAUUGCAAAUGGAUUAUUUUCUUAAUUUUCUUUUUGGAUCAUUCAUUGCUGUUAUAUAGAAGCACAACUGAUUUUUGCAUGCUGGUGUUGUGCGUGCAAGUUUGCUUAAUUAGUUCAUUAGCUCUAGCAGGUUUUUUUUGUUUUUUUCGUGUGUGGAUACUAAGGGAUUUUCUGUUAAUAGAAUUAUGUCAUCCA